rnacentral:rRNA from 1 species
UACGUAGGGUGCAAGCGUUGUCCGGAAUUAUUGGGCGUAAAGAGCUCGUAGGCGGUUCGUCGCGUCGGCUGUGAAAUCCCGAGGCUCAACCUCGGGUCUGCAGUCGAUACGGGCGGACUGGAGUUCGGCGGGGGAGACUGGAAUUCCUGGUGUAGCGGUGAAAUGCGCAGAUAUCAGGAGGAACACCGGUGGCGAAGGCGGGUCUCUGGGCCGAUACUGACGCUGAGGAGCGAAAGCGUGGGGAGCGAACAGG